AGCGCGCUAACACAUGCAAGUCGAGCGGCAGCGGGAAAGUAGCUUGCUACUUUUGCCGGCGAGCGGCGGACGGGUGAGUAAUGCCUGGGGAUCUGCCCAGUCGAGGGGGAUAACUACUGGAAACGGUAGCUAAUACCGCAUACGCCCUACGGGGGAAAGCAGGGGACCUUCGGGCCUUGCGCGAUUGGAUGAACCCAGGUGGGAUUAGCUAGUUGGUGAGGUAAUGGCUCACCAAGGCGACGAUCCCUAGCUGGUCUGAGAGGAUGAUCAGCCACACUGGAACUGAGACACGGUCCAGACUCCUACGGGAGGCAGCAGUGGGGAAUAUUGCACAAUGGGGGAAACCCUGAUGCAGCCAUGCCGCGUGUGUGAAGAAGGCCUUCGGGUUGUAAAGCACUUUCAGCGAGGAGGAAAGGUUGGUAGCUAAUAACUGCCAGCUGUGACGUUACUCGCAGAAGAAGCACCG
rnacentral:rRNA from 1 species